ACCAGUCGCCAUUAUCAUCGCCCU
rnacentral:siRNA from 1 species